GAUGAACGCUAGCUACAGGCUUAACACAUGCAAGUCGAGGGGCAGCAUGGUCUUAGCUUGCUAAGGCCGAUGGCGACCGGCGCACGGGUGAGUAACACGUAUCCAACCUGCCGUCUACUCUUGGACAGCCUUCUGAAAGGAAGAUUAAUACAAGAUGGCAUCAUGAGUCCGCAUGUUCACAUGAUUAAAGGUAUUCCGGUAGACGAUGGGGAUGCGUUCCAUUAGAUAGUAGGCGGGGGAACGGCCCACCUAGUCUUCGAUGGGGAGGGGUUAUGAGAGGGAGGUACCCCACAUUGGAACUGCGACACGGUCCAAACUCCUACGGGAGGCAGCAGUGAGGAAUAUUGGUCAAUGGGCGCAGGCCUGAACCAGCCAAGUAGCGUGAAGGAUGACUGCCCUAUGGGUUGUAAACUUCUUUUAUAAAGGAAUAAAGUCGGGUAUGUAUACCCGUUUGCAUGUACCUUAUGAAUAAGGAUCGGCUAACUCCGUG
rnacentral:rRNA from 1 species